UACGAAGGGUGCAAGCGUUACUCGGAAUUACUGGGCGUAAAGCGUGCGUAGGUGGUUGUUUAAGUCUGAUGUGAAAGCCCUGGGCUCAACCUGGGAAUGGCAUUGGAAACUGGGCAGCUAGAGUGCGGUAGAGGGUAGUGGAAUUCCCGGUGUAGCAGUGAAAUGCGUAGAGAUCGGGAGGAACAUCUGUGGCGAAGGCGACUGCCUGGACCAGCACUGACACUGAGGCACGAAAGCGUGGGGAGCAAACAGG
rnacentral:rRNA from 2 species